UUUAAGUGCAACCAUCAGUUUCCAUAUCUAACUUUAAUCACUCAUCUUAUUUGAAAAAAAAUUAUAAUUAGUAUUUUUUGUUGUUAUGAGAUGAUAAAACAUGAAUAGUACUUUAUAUGUGACUUAUGUUUUAAAUUUUUUUAAAAGUUUUUUAAAUAAGAUGGAUGAUUAAAGUUGGGAACGGAAAAUAAUGACGGCACUUAAA
rfam:Oryza meridionalis cultivar OR44 (W2112) chromosome 6, whole genome shotgun sequence.